rnacentral:rRNA from 1 species
AUACGUAGGGUGCGAGCGCUGUCCGGAAUUACUGGGCGUAAAGAGCUCGUAGGUGGUUUGUCGCGUCGUCUGUGAAAUUCCGGGGCUUAACUCCGGGCGUGCAGGCGAUACGGGCAUAACUUGAGUACUGUAGGGGAGACUGGAAUUCCUGGUGUAGCGGUGAAAUGCGCAGAUAUCAGGAGGAACACCGGUGGCGAAGGCGGGUCUCUGGGCAGUAACUGACGCUGAGGAGCGAAAGCAUGGGUAGCGAACAGGAUUAGAUACCCUGGUAGUCCAUGCCGUAAACGGUGGGCGCUAGGUGUAGGGGUCUUCCACGACUUCUGUGCCGUAGCUAACGCAUUAAGCGCCCCGCCUGGGGAGUACGGCCGCAAGGCUAAAACUCAAAUGAAUUGACGGGG